AACGAACGCUGGCGGCAGGCCUAACACAUGCAAGUCGAGCGGACCCUUCAGGGUUAGCGGCGGACGGGUGAGUAACGCGUGGGAAUAUGCCCUUCUCUACGGAAUAGUCCUGGGAAACUGGGGGUAAUACCGUAUACGCCCUUUGGGGGAAAGAUUUAUCGGGGAAGGAUUAGCCCGCGUUGGAUUAGGUAGUUGGUGGGGUAAUGGCCUACCAAGCCGACGAUCCAUAGCUGGUUUGAGAGGAUGAUCAGCCACACUGGGACUGAGACACGGCCCAGACUCCUACGGGAGGCAGCAGUGGGGAAUCUUAGACAAUGGGGGCAACCCUGAUCUAGCCAUGCCGCGUGAGUGAUGAAGGCCUUAGGGUUGUAAAGCUCUUUCAGCUGGGAAGAUAAUGACGGUACCAGCAGAAGAAGCCCCGGCUAACUCCGUG
rnacentral:rRNA from 1 species